ACUGCCAUUUGCUAACUGCUGCCUCCAUCCACCGCUUGCCUUUCUGGGUCUGUCACUUCUUCACUCCGCUUUCCCUGCUCCCCAAUACUUUAGGAGAGCCCAAAGCAGAAUCCAGCCUUGGGUCUGCCAUAAGUGGGCCCCCGAAGUGGCAGCUUCUCUCCUCUUCGGGAUGUUUGGCAUCAGCCUCUUCCUCAUUCUGUGUGUUGCCCGCUUCCUUCUUCUACCUCAAACGACAAGCUUCCAACAAGCCUCCAACAAGCUUCCAAACUUCUUCUAGGGAAGAAGGAAAGGGUCUGUGGUAGAGUCUGCCGAAUCAGCAAGUACAAAUACACCCUUGAGACCAUCUAUGUUAUCUCCACCUUCUUCAGUUCAAAAGUCCUGCUAUGUCCAGAGAGAGAGAUCGCUCAUGUUCUCCAGAACCCGCACAUCGAUUUCUGCCGAGACCAGGGUCAGC